CUGAUAGUACCAAGUGUCCCUUCUUAUCAAGACUGGACGGGUAUUCAAUUUUCUCUUCAAACGCCUGCCUUCUGAAAUGAGGCACGAAUGGAAGGCGAAAGGGAGAAACGUGCCAAGAGAGAUGCGUCAAGCCAACCCUGAUCGGGACUGCCUUCCACCUGGAAACCAUGUCCUCACUGUGGAGGAAAAUGCGAGUCAAGAAUAGGGCUCCACAGUCACCUACGUAUCCACCGCCAGGACACUACAUCUGGAAGACAAUCAUACUCGGACAACGAGGGAUUGCCUAAGUAUAUAAGUAUUAUUCUUACCAGCUUAAUCAUUUGACCCAGGUAAAAACACAACCAGCAGAAUGGAUGUGCAUAUUUUGCUAUCAUAUUCUAAUAAGAAAUAAAAAUAAACAGACA
rnacentral:lncRNA from 11 species